AUGGCUUCGCUGCUCACAGCGUUGCUGGGCCGUGUGGUGGCUAAGGCCGGCGACGCGCUGGUGUCCGAGCUGCUGCGGGCGUGGGGGCUGGACAAGUCCCGCCGGAAGCUGGAGCGCUACCUCGCCGCCGUCCAGUGCAUCCUGCUGGACGCCGAUGCCAAGAGCCGCACUAACCCCGCCGUCCUCCGCUGGAUGACGGACCUCAAGACUGCCGCCUAUCAGGCCGACGACGUCCUCGACGACUUCCGCUACGAGGCGCUGCGCCUCCGUGCCGACGCCCAGAUUCGCCCCCGCUCCAAGGCACGCAAGGUGUUGAGCUACUUCACUGCCAAUAGCCCAGUUGUUUUCCGGCUCUCCAUGAGCAGGAAAAUGAAGGACGCCCUUGAAAUGAUAGAUGAAUUGGUUGUGGAGAUGAACAAUUUUCACUUCAUACAACAUGCAGAGACACUAAGCGUCGAUAAUCCGCAAACACACUCUCAAGUCGAUGAAUCAGAGAUUGUGGGCAGACAAAAUGAGAAGGAACAAGUGGUGAAGAUGUUGCUCGAUCACUCUGACAGCGACACUAAGAAUAAUGUCAUGGUGCUUCCCAUAGUUGGUAUGGGCGGAAUUGGUAAGACCACCCUGGCCCAACUUGUGCACAAUGAUCGGAGGAUGAAGCAUCAUUUUGAGUUGGUCAUAUGGGCUUGUGUCUCUGACAAGUUCGUUAUCGAAGAAAUUAUCCGAUCUGUAAUAGAAGUGACCACGAUGAACAAGUGUGAUUUAACUCAAAUGGAAGCAUUGCAAAAGAAACUUGGUGAAGUGCUGGGUAAGAAAAGGUACCUCCUAAUGCUAGAUGAUGUUUGGAGUGAAGAUAGACAGAAGUGGGAUGACAUGAGAUCAUUACUAUGCUCACAUGCUGGCUCAGGUAGUGCUAUAAUUGUGACAAGCCGCAGCAAUCAAGUUGCUUCUAUCAUGGGAACACUUCCUCCACAUCAGAUAUCACUUCUAAGUGAAGAUCAAUCAUGGGAGCUUUUUCAGAGGAACACAUUUGGAAGGGCAGUGGAAAAGCAGGAGGAAUUGAUUUCAAUGGCUAAGAGUAUUGUCCAGAAGUGUAAGGGGUUGCCUCUUGCUAUCAAGACCGUAGCAGCUUUGCUUCGCUCGAAGCAUCACAGGCAAUGGUUUUCUUUUCUGGAUAGUGAUGUUUGGAAGGAUGACAUCCUUAGAACUACUGGAAUUGUACCUGCACUACAACUGAGCUAUGAUCACUUGUCAUCAGACGCACAAAUAUGCUUUUCCUUCUGUGCUAUUUUCCCCAUGGAUAGCCCGAUGAACAAGGACAUGUUAAUCCAGCUAUGGAUGGCAAAUGACUUUAUUGCAUCAGAAACAAGAGGCCAACAAAUUUUUGAUUUGCUAGUUUGGAGAUGUUUCCUACAAGAGGUCGAGAUUCAAAAGAAUCCGCUCUCCGGAUUUCGAAAUGGGUUCGAUCAGUACAUACGUAAUGAUGAUUUCAUGCACCGACCAACUACUUGCAAGAUGCACGAUCUCAUGCAUGAUCUUGCUGACUCCGUAAGUGGAAAUGAUUGCUCCAUCCUGCAAGAAUCUUCACCACAUCAAGAAAUUCUACAAGGAUCCACAAAUGCUAGUUCAUUACAGCAUGAUGUUCGACAUUUGUCACUUGAUAAUGUCAGUUAUCAUACUAUUGCCACCAUGGAGGAAGUUCUAGCUCCCCGGCCCCGCACGAUAUUAGUCCGAAAGUCGACCAAGACUCCGCUGGAUGAGAGAGAGUCCCUGAGUAUAGGCAAAUCAAAAUUCAUGUCCUUGCGAGCAUUGAAGACCAUCUCAAUCAAGAUAAAUAUGACGAACUUGAAGCAUCUUCGCUAUCUGGACUGCUCUUAUUCUCGUAUGUCUGCACUGCCUGAAGCCACUACCAUAUUGUAUAGCUUGCAAACAUUGAAGCUUUUUUGUUGUGCAAACCUUAGGAGAUUACCAGAAGGCAUGCGAUACAUGAGCAGUCUUCGCCACAUCUUCCUCGUUGGGUGUUAUCGUUUGGAGCGCAUGCCACAAGGUACUGGUCAGCUGAGUUCUCUGCAGACAUUGACGAAUUAUGUCAUUGAUAGUGAUCCAGGUCGUGGAAUUGAUCAACUGAAAGAUUUGGAUCUAGGUGGUGCUCUUUCUUUGACUGAGCUGAGAAAAGUGCAUAGUGUAGAAAAUGCUAAACAAGGCAAUAUGUCCGCGAAGCACAAUUUGAAAAGAUUAUCACUCAGUUGGGCGAAUAGACCUCCUUAUGGAUAUGAAGUAGACACUAAUGCAGAAGGAAUAUUAGAGGCCCUUUGUCCUAACAAAAGGCUUGAAGUUUUACUGUUAUCUAAUUAUACUGGUGCUAAACUGUCAUCAUGGAUGCACAACUCUACAGUGUUAGAACAUCUCAGUGAACUUUGUCUGAGUAGCUGCAAGAACUGCAAGGAUCUUCCACCAUUAUGGCAGCUACCCUCUCUUAGGUACUUGAGUUUGAAUGGUUUGCAUAGCUUGACAAGUAUAUGUGCUGGUAAUGAUCAUACAAACAUUGGGGAAUCCUGUAUUUCUCUACCACCCUUCUUUCCUAAAUUGGAAAUCAUGAUAGUUUCUGACAUGAUUAAGCUAGAGAGAUGGCACCAGGAGGUGCCAGGACAAGUACCAGCUAUAUCAUUCCCUCAGCUCAAGAAGCUAGAUGUUUCUGCAUGUCCAAUGCUCGCAAGCAUGCCCAAGACGCUCCCUUUGAUUGAAGAUCUGCUGGUGACUGGGGCAAAUGACAUCCCUCUUUACCAUCUGAUGAAUAUGUCUGUGCAAUCUAAUCUUGAGUGCAAAGGCUACAUUGAAGUUGGUUGGCGGCUUAUUCACCUUCAUUUCUCGAGGCUUGGUGACUCUAACGUGAGACUGGGACUCCGAGGUUUGAGGGAAAAUGUAGAGCACUUUGAAGAGGAGUUGAGCAGAAUACCUUGCAGGUUUAUUAAGGUGCUUGAUAUAACAAAUUACGACUGUCUUUUCUCGUUCGAACUGUCCCAAGUACAACAGAAUAUAUGGGACCAUUUUGGUUUUGUUGAAAAACUGUCAAUUGAAAACUGCAAUAAUAUAGUACAAUGGCCAGCGGUAGAAUUCAGGAACAUGAAUUGCCUUCGAGUUCUAAACUUGAUUGAUUGUUCCAACUUAACUGGAUCACUUCCAUUAGCAAUAUCUGAUGAAGAAAAUGACCACCUUCCUCGACUCCAGAAUCUUAGUAUAUCAUGUUGCAAUAAUUUGGUGGAGGUACCAAAGUUGCCUGCAUCUCUUGAAAGUUUGUCGAUCCGUUGUUGUCCCAAGCUGGUUUCCAUGCCAAGAAAUCUUGGGAGCGUAAAAAAAUUGAGAGAACUCUCUCUGAUUAGGUGCGAUGCCCUGACGGCAUUUCCAGAUGGAACGUAUGGAGUCACUGCACUCAGGACGCUGGUGAUGGAGUGGUGCCCAAGGGUAGAGACACUACCAGAGGGACUCUUGCAGCAGCUCCCAACCCUCGGGAGGCUACGGAUCACAGGCUGCCCUAACUUGGAGGAGGCCUUCUCAAGCAGAGGCACUCACUGGAAUUUUGUUGAAGCAAUUCCAAAUAGAUCAGUUGGCAAAUCCAUGCGCUGA
rnacentral:rRNA from 1 species